rnacentral:tRNA from 1 species
GCACUAAUGGGGUAGUGGUAACCUCGGAGUUUCCCAUCUUGAAGAUACUACUCUGGCCCCGUGUUCGAUUCACGGUUAGUGCA